rnacentral:rRNA from 1 species
UAAUACGGAGGGGGCAAGCGUUGUUCGGAAUUACUGGGCGUAAAGCGCACGUAGGCGGCUUUGUAAGUUAGAGGUGAAAGCCCGGGGCUCAACUCCGGAAUUGCCUUUAAGACUGCAUCGCUAGAAUUGUGGAGAGGUAAGUGGAAUUCCGAGUGUAGAGGUGAAAUUCGUAGAUAUUCGGAAGAACACCAGUGGCGAAGGCGACUUACUGGACACAUAUUGACGCUGAGGUGCGAAAGCGUGGGGAGCAAA